rnacentral:misc_RNA from 1 species
GAUGAAGAACGCAGCGAAAUGCGAUAAGUAAUGUGAAUUGCAGAAUUCAGUGAAUCAUCGAAUCUUUGAACGCACAUUGCGCCCGCCAGUAUUCUGGCUGGCAUGCCUGUUCGAGCGUCAUUACAACCCUCAGGCCCCCGGGCCUGGCGUUGGGGAUCGGCGGAGCCCCCCGUGGGCACACGCCGUCCCCCAAAUGCAGUGGCGGUCCCGCCGCAGCUUCCAUCGCGUAGUAGCUAACACCUCGCGACUGGAGAGCGGCGCGGCCACGCCGUAAAACACCCCACUCUUCUGAAGUUGACCUCGAAUCAGGUAGGAAUACCCGCUGAACUUAAGCAUAUCAAUAAGCGGAGGA